UACCACCAAGGCGAACUUGACAUGCUUUGACUGUUAUAAUUUUAUAAAAAUUUCAGCAGAGUUCCCUCUGAAAAAUGGACUAAAACUACCUGAAAAUAAAAUCAAAUAUCCCAAACAUGUACAUAUCAUUUGAAAUAGGGUACACCGGCCCCUCAAAAUAUCAACUAUUCAAAUACAACAUUGGCAAUUCGACUUUUGCAACAAUUUCUAAACCACAUUACCAAAAAUGCAUAAUAUAUAUACAAAACAUAGCAAGCCCAACACAUGGAACUAUUUUAUGGCCAAAAGAGGUGUCUAUCCCAAAAUAUGAACUCUUAAACUAAAAAGAUAAUUCAUACAAUGCUUGACAAUCUAUGGCUCAACUUGAUAGAUCAACUGGCCUAGUAGUAUUCAACUCAACUACUAUCUGAUAAGAGAAAUAGUAAUAAAAAUGUGAGCCUAUAACUCAGUGAGUGGAUAUUUGCAAAAAUAUAAUUUUCCAUUCAUAAAAUCUUUCUGAAAACCCACAUAUAGCAUAAAAUUUCUUUUCACAGACAUAUAAACUAAAAUAUUUAUUCUUUAAACUGAAUAGGUUGAGUUCUGUAGCUUAAAAUAUGAUGAUACAAUCAAAACUAAAAUAUACUGUAAUCAUAAACAUCUUUAUUCUGUAUACUGCAUUUCUAAAAUCUGAUAAACUAUGUGAUACUGAAACGUCACACCAAAAAUGUACUCGGAAUAACCAUACUCGUGAAUUGAUUAAUCUCGAUAUACAUAGCAAGGUUAUUCAAUUCUGAAAUUCUAUAAUUCUGAAAUUCUGUAACUCUGGUCGUACGCGCGCAGAGCUAUAAAAUAGUCAUACACUAUGGAAACACAUUCACAAUAGUACAGACCGGGUAAAAUCACUAUAUUGAUUAUACGCUGUGGAAACACAUUCACACUAGCGCAGAGUGAGUAAAAUAACCAUAUGAAGUCAUAUACUGUGGAAACACAUUCACACCAGUGCAGACGAGGGUAAAAUCACUUGGGUACUUUCGGUGGUUUUAAAAUAACUUUGAAUAUACUGAAAUAUUUAAUACUAAAAUAACAUGCUAAUAAAAUUAUUUACUAAAUUGAAUUUAACUUUUAAAAACAACUGGUUAUAAAUCAACUUUAUUCUGAAAAUCGUAUUGUCAAAUCAACUGUAUGAAUUAAUAAAUUUUCUGAGUUAAUAUAAAUUAAAUAAUACUAAUUUCUGAAAAAUAAGCCUAUCCACUCACAUAAUACAAGUUGAACUUAAGAUGGUCGAUAGGCUCUUCCAAUCUCCUCGUCACCACCUGGAAUAUAUAACAAGAUGACUAAUCAACCACUAUUAAAUUAAAAAACUUUAAGAUCUACUUCUAUAAUACUUAACUAAAAUUGGUCGAUGCUCGAAUGAAUUUCCCAAAUAUUCUUUUGAUCAAUUGGAGCUAAUCCCUUUUCUAAUAAUUAAUUCAUCAACAAAACCUUCUUCCCAAGCUUAAAACUAAUUUUAGUCUCCAAUCUAGUGAAACUAGUAACCACAAUUCCACCCAUUUAAUAUACAUUUGUUCCAUAAAAUCAACUCCCAAGUAAAAUAUUCCAUUUAUAUAAUCAUUUCCACAAUUAAUUAAUCAAAAAUCCCAAAAUCGAAUUCUAUGGUUUCCCCAAAAAAAAUUGACAUCUCCUUACCUUAAUGAAGAUAGAAAUUCAAGAAUCAAUAACUUGAGCUCCAAGUAGUAUUCCUCUAAAAAAAUUUUGAAAAUUUCGAGCCAAAAUAAAACUCUAGAAUUUUAACAUAAUUCAUACUUUAUCACUUGAAAAAAAUGGAAAAAUUCAACCCAAGCUUGAAGAAAUUAGCCUUACCUCUUUUCCUCUUCUUCCCUUUUCUUCUUUCCUUCCUUCUUUCCCUUUUUCUUCCCUUUCUCCCCUAAUUUUUCCUCUCUUUUUCGGUCCCAUCUUGCUGCCGUUUUCUCACUGUGUGUGUGUGUGUGUGUGAUUUGGAGUGAAAAAUGGGUCAAAUGUUGACUAUAAAUUCCACUUAUUCAAAAAUUGCAAGGAAAGUCCUCCUACUCCAUUUUUUAUAUCACAUUUAAUCCAAAACUUCCAAAAAUAUAUAAGUAAAUUCCAAAUUUUGAAAUGUAUCCAAUUUAACCUUCAUAUUUUGUCAAUUGCAAAAUAAACCCAAAUAAAAUGAUUUGGUCAAUCAAGUCCCAAUAAAAAUGAUUUAUUUCAUACAAGUCCUCAUUUGACUUGACCUUGAAAAUUCCACUAUUGACUUUGAUUAGAUAAAAAUGUGGGUUGUAACAAUCUUACCUCCUUAAAAGAAUUUCGCCCUCGAAAUUCAACUGGCAACUGACUAGGCAAUGAAUAAACGAGGAUAUUGAGCAUGCAUCUGAUCCUCAUUCUCCCAUGUAGCCUCUUCUACUGUAUGAUUCUGUCAAAGUACUUUAACAAGUGAAACUGUCUGGUUUUGUUGAGUUUGCAUUUUCUUGUCUAAGAUUUUCACUGGCUCUACUAUAUAAGUCAAAUUCUCCUUCAACUGAAUUGGCUGAGACUCCAGAACAUGAGAAUGAUUAGCAAUGUACUUGCGAAGCAUGAAAACAUGAAAAACAUCAUGGAUCCGGGAUAAUUCAUUGGGCAGAUCUAAUCGAUAUGCAACUGGACCAAUCCACUCAGUAAUCUCAUAGGGUCCAAUUUAUCAUGGACUCAACUUUCCUCGCCUGCCAAAUCUCAACACCCCUUUCCAAGGAGAUAAUUUAAGAAAAACUUUAUCUCCUACUACAAAUUCAAGGUCUUUCUUGCGCUUAUCCACAUAACUCUUCUGUCUAUCCUGAGCUACUUUCAACUUUUCUUUAAUCAAUUUAACAUUUUCGGAUGUCAUUUGAACCAAUUCCGGGCCUUUUAACUUCCUCUUACCAUCUUCAUCCCAACAAACUGGUGUCCUGCACUUCCGACCACAUAAAGCUUCAAAAGGAGCCAUUUCUAUACUAGAGUAGUAGCUGUUAUUGUAAGCAAACUCCAUCAAUGACAAAUGAGUAUCCCAGCUACCCUUGAGCUCUAAAACAUAAGCCCUCAACAUAUCCUCAAGAGUCUGUAUGGUUCUCUCUAACCGGCCAUCUGUCUGAGGAUGAAAAGCUGUACUGAAAUGUAAUUUAGUACCCAUGGCUUCCUGCAAACUGGGCAAAAAUUUAGAUGUAAAAUGAGGGUCUCUAUCUGACACAAUAGAUAAGGGAGUACCAUAAGAGCUCACUAUUUCAUCCACAUACAACUUUGCCAACUUAUUUAAAGUAUAAGUGGCUUUGAUCGGCAAGAACUUGGCAAUUUUGGUCAAAAGAUCUACAAUCACCCAAACUCCAUCAUGACCAUUUUGAGUACGAGGAAGACCAAAUAAAAAGUCCAUAGUAAUGUGCUUCCAUUUCCACUCUAGAAUAGGCAAUGGCUAUAAAAGUCCUGCUGUUUUCUGACGAACUAGCUUUACCUGACAUAUAAGACAUUUGGAUACAAAAUCUGCUAUUUCUUUCUUCAUUCCAAGCCACCAAUAAUGAUCUUUCAAUGUAUGAUACAUUUUAAUACUGCCUAGAUGCAUAGCAUAAGCAGAACUGUGGGCUUCUUCCAAAAUCUCUUUCUUCAAUUCUGGAAUAUUUGGAACACAUAAUCUAUUACCCAUAGCCAGCGCCCCAUCAUCUCUAAUCAUAUAAUCCAUUCUUGCCCCCAGGGCACAUCUCCAAGGGGUAAAAGAGGAGGGUGGAGAAAUCCAGCUUUGCUUGAGGCUGUUGCGUCAAGGGUUCGAAUCCUGAAAUAUGGAUUUGGCUCUUGGGUAAGUACAAGUGUACAAGCAGCCUUCCACCCUGUACCCUUGGAAGCAUAACCUGCGAUUUACCUCCCUCACGAUGCUCCAGGGCAGGGGUGGUGGGAGACCCUUAAGGUUAGGGUUUAACCUUUUUAAUCAUAUAAUCCAUUCUUAACCUAGUACUAACUUCUACUUUUAAUAUUCUCAGUGUCUGGUCUUGAGAUUGAGCUUCUCUAACCUUAUCAAUCAAAGUAGGCCUCACCUGAAAAUGAGCUAAUAUGGCCCCUAAAGUAGUAGUUGUCAACUCAGUGUGUAACUUCUUAAACUCACAAAUCAAAGAAGCAUAAACUGCACUUGACGGAGAUGAUGAACUUGUCUUUCUGCUGAGAGCAUCUGCGACUACAUUUGCUUUCCCCGGAUGGUAGUCAAUCUUACAAUCAUAAUUCUUUAUCACCUCCAGCCAUCUCCUUUGCCUUAGAUUCAGUUCUUUCUGAUCAAAUAUAUACUUUAAACUUUUGUGAUCAGUAAAUAUUUAACAUUUCUCACCAUAAAGAUAAUGUCUCCAAAUCUUCAAUGCCAACACUACUGCAGCUAACUCCAAAUCAUGAGUUGGGUAAUUUAACUCAUGCUUCUUCAAUUGUCUAGAAGCAUAAGCUACAACUUUCCCAUUCUGCAUUAAAACACAACCCAAUCCUUGGCGUGAAGCAUCACUAUAAAUCACAAACUCCUCACCUGGAGAUGGAAGAGUAAGUAUAGGAGCAGAAACUAAUCUUUUCUUCAACUCUUAAAAACUCUUUUCAUAUUCAUCAGUCCACACAAAUUUGGAGUUCUUUCGAGUCAAACUAGUCAAAGGAAGAGCAAUUUUGGAAAAAUCCUCCACAAAUCGACGAUAAUAACCUGCUAACCCAAGAAAACUCCGUACUUCUGUAACAUUAGUAGGGCGUUCCCAUUUCAUUACUGCUUCAAUUUUCUGAGGAUCCACAUAAAUACCUUCGGCUGAGAUAACAUGACCCAAAAAUACCACUUUAUCCAGCCAAAAUUCACAUUUGCUGAACUUAGCAUAACAAGGGCAUUAGUCAACCCAAAUGGCAUCACCAAAAACUCAUAAUGGCCAUACCGUGACCUAAAAGUAGUUUUUGGUACAUCGAUAUCUCUAAUUCUGAGCUGAUGAUACCCCGAACGUAAAUCAAUUUUCGAAAACACUGAGGCACCUCUAAGUUGGUCAAACAAAUCAUCAAUGCGAGGCAACAGAUACUUGUUGCGAACUGUCACUUUAUUCAACUGUCUGUAGUCAACACACAAUCUCAUUGUGCCAUCUUUCUUCUUCACAAACAAGACUGGAGCUCCCCAUGGAGAUACACUGGGUCUAAUGAAACCCUUAUCAACUAAAUCCUGCAACUGAACUUUCAAUUCCUUCAGCUCUGCUGGAGCCAUUCUAUAAGGUGAUUGUGAAAUAGGGGUAGUCCCUGGAAUCAAAUCAAUAGUAAACUCGAUUUUCCUAUCAGGAGGUAACCCUGGAAGAUCUUCAGGAAAAACAUGAGGGAAAUCUUUUACCACUGGUAUAUCUUCAAGUUUCAAUUUAGUGGUCUGAGUGUCAAUCACAUGAGCUAAAUAUGCUUGGCAACCUUUUCUAAGCAAUCUCCCAGCAUCAAGUGCUGAUAUGAUACAUGAAGGUAGUAUUCUCCGUUCACCACUAAAAAUGAUUUCAGGCUCUCCUGGCCUUCGAAACACCACUUCUUUGCGAAAACAAUCAACUGAUGCAUGAUUCACAGACAAAAAAUCCAUGCCCAAUAUCACAUCAAAAUCAUGAAUAUCAAGUGGAAUUAAAUUAGCAUUCAACUCAUGAUCAUUCACACUAAUCACGCAAUCUUUGUACACACUGUUAGCUAAAAGUGAAUCUCCUACAGGAGUUGCUACCACCAAAUCACUAUCUAAUGAUUCUGACAUAUGGUCCGCAUAAAUAGCAAAUGCAUAAGAUAUAAAUGAAUGUGUAGCACCUGAAUCUAUUAAAGAACGGGCCUUUUUGCCAAAAAUAGAUAACGUACCUAUAACCACAUCAGGUGACUCGUCGACAUCAUGCUGAGUCACUGCAAACACUCUUCCCUGGGUUCUGGGUCGUUCAGCCUGGCCUUUCUGUCUAGUACCACUGUUGCCAGCAGCAUCAGACUGAGUAGCACUAGUAACACCUGCUUUGCCUGCCAAAGUAUUCUGAUUCUAAUUUUGUCUAGAAAUGCCAGCACCUGACUACAAAGAAACCUCUUGUGGAAUGCCACCCUGCUGGAAACGAACUGGACACUCUCUCCUCGUGUGUCCCGUCUGACCACAAUGAUAAUACACUCCAAUUUCCUUAAGACACUCACCAGGGUGAAAUUUCCCGCACAACUGGCACUGGGGAAAUUUGGCCACACCAGAGCUAUCACUCUGUCCAGGAGUAAAUGAUCUCUAAGAAGAUCUCUGAGUCUGAGUACGAUUACUCCCUGGCUGCUGUACUGAUCCCUGACUCGACCUCGAGCUCUGACUGCCAUGAGAUCUGGACUUAAAACUACCAGAAGUGGAAACAUCUAAUCCACCUCCUCUGUGAUCCCUCCUCGGUGGCCUAGUCAUAGAUCUUCCUGCCCAUGUCUGACUACUGCUUCCAAUUUCUGGUCUCAUUUGUUGUUGACCACCAUGUCAUUCAGACAAACUUUUCUCAACCCUUAAUGCUGCUUCUACAAGUUUACCCAAAUUUUCAUACCUAGAUGCAGUCACCACUGAUCUAAUUUCUUCUCUCAAGCCAUACUCAAAUCUUCUGCAUUUAUCAACUUCAUCAGCUACAAGAGCAGCAGCAUACUUUGAUAAUUCUAGAAAUUUCUUCUGAUACUCUGCCACUGUUGAUGUCUAUACUAGUCUCAAAAAUUCAUUCUGUUUGUCAGUCUUGUAAGAACGAGGAUAGAAAUGCUCAUUGAAAUCAUCUUUAAACUCGCCCCACGUGAUCACAGAAGGAUCAACAUAUUUACUAUGUACGGACCUCCACCAAUCAUAAGCACUUCCUUCUAACAAGAAAGUAGCUAGUCGUAAUUUUCAAUCAUCAGGACAAUCCAUCACAUCAAAUAUUCUUUCAAUUCUCACCAUCCAUGAUUCUGCUUCUACUGGAUCAGCUGUGCCUGUAAAUACUUUAGCUCCUAGUUUAGUAGCCCGCUCUAUACUAAAAUCUUUAUCUGUAUUGUGUAGAGCAGAAGCAACAGCGGUGGCAAUCCUAUCCGCUAUUAAGUCAGGCUGGGCUACAUCCCCAUAUCUCCGCUGAUCAUGGGUCGGAUGAACUAAUUUCUCGACCCUACUAGCAUCCCUAUCAGGAGCAGCUGGUGGUUGAGACGACCUAUCUUGGAGCCUGUGUGUCUUAUUACCACGAGCCAUGACUUCCAACUACAAAAUAUGUAUAAUAUGAUCAGAACAAAAUUCAAACAAACCAUGCAAACUGACUUUAUAACCAUGCUCUGAUACCAAUGGACAUGACCCGUCCCGAUCACCCCAAUGGAUUCGACACGUGUCGUGCGCCGAUGGUAGAUACCAGCGAAGUGCCGGACCCACCACCAAGGCGAACUUGACAUGCUUUGACUGUUAUAAUUUUAUAAAAAUUUCGACAGAGUUCCCUCUGAAAAAUGGACUAAAACUACCUGAAAAUAAAAUCAAAUAUCCCAAACAGGUACAUAUCAUUUGAAAUAGGGUACACCGGCCCCUCAAAAUAUCAACUAUUCAAAUACAACACUGACAAUUCAACUUUUGCAACAAUUUGUAAACCACAGUACCAAAAAUGCAUAAUAUAUAUACAAAACAUAGCAAGCCCAAAACAUGGAACUAAUUUAUGACCAAAAGAGGUGUCUAUCCCAAAAUAUGAACUCUUAAACUGAAAAGAUAAUUCAUACAAUGCUU
rnacentral:lncRNA from 1 species